CGCCGAUGGCAGAUGAUCGCUGGCGAGUCCCGCGUUGGCGGGAGUUGCUGGAGGAAAGUCCGAACACCAUACGGCGGCAUGCCGCGUAAAACACGCGGGCAUCACGGUUGAAAAACCGCGGUGACGGAGAGUGUCACAGAAAAGAUACCGCCGGUUCUUUGGCAGCAAAGUGCAGGCAAGGGUGAAAAGGCGAGGCAAGAGCUCACCGCUCGCAAAGCAAUUUGCGAGGCACGAAAAACCCCAUGCGGUGCAAGACAAAACAGAGGAAGGGCAGCCGGCCCGUUUGAUCCUCGGGUAUCGUCGCAUCACGGUCCCGCGAACGCGGGAUCGGGCUCUCGCCCGCGAUUGCGGGUCGGGAGAGGUAAAUGAUCAUCACGGCUGAGAAAUUGGCCGACAGAAUUCGGCUUACCGCCAUCGAAAAUAU
rnacentral:RNase_P_RNA from 1 species